rnacentral:rRNA from 1 species
AUUGAACGCUGGCGGCAGGCUUAACACAUGCAAGUCGAGCGAGCGGCGGACGGGUGAGUAAUGUCUGGGAAACUGCCUGAUGGAGGGGGAUAACUACUGGAAACGGUAGCUAAUACCGCAUACCAUCAGAGGUGCCCAGAUGGGAUUAGAUAGUAGGUGGGGUGAUGGCUCACCUAGGCCACGAUCACUAGCUGGUCGGAGAGGGUGACCAGCCAUACGGGAACGGAGGCACGGUCCAUGCUCCUACGGGAGGAAGCAGUGGGGAAUAUUGCACAAUGUGCGCAAGCCUGAUGCAGCACUGCGGCGUGUGUGAAGAAGUCCUUCGUGUUGUAAAGUACUUUCAGCGAGGAGGCGUUACUCGCAGAAGAAGCACCGGCUAACUCCGUGCCAGCAGCCGCGGUAAUUC